GGCUCUGUGGUGUAGUGGUAGCACACUCACCCAGCAAGUGAGAGACCCGGGUUCGAGUCCCCGGCGGAGCGCU